GCGGUGCCCUGCUAAGGCAUUGGGUUCUGCCCGCGUAGGUUCGAAUCCUGCCGUUGUCG
rnacentral:tRNA from 1 species